rnacentral:rRNA from 1 species
UACGAAGGGGGCUAGCGUUGUUCGGAAUUACUGGGCGUAAAGCGCGCGCAGGCGGUUUUUCAAGUCAGUGGUGAAAGCCCGGAGCUCAACUCCGGAAAUGCCAUUGAAACUGUGGAACUUGAGGAUGAGAGAGGUGAGUGGAAUUCCCAGUGUAGAGGUGAAAUUCGUAGAUAUUGGGAAGAACACCGGUGGCGAAGGCGGCUCACUGGCUCAUUACUGACGCUCAGGCGCGAUAGCGUGGGGAUCAAACAGG